rnacentral:rRNA from 1 species
AGGUAGUACUUAUAUAAGAAAACCUAUAUAGUUUGGCGGCACUUCAUCUUAUUAGAGGAAUUUGUCUUUUAAUCGAUAAUCCACGUUAAUUUUUACUUAAAAUUAAAGCUGAUAUACCGCCUUUUUAAGAAUAUAUUUAAAAAUAUUAUUCUAAAUAAUAUUCUAAAAAAUUAGGUCAAGGUGUGGCUAAUAUUUAAGUUAAGAUGAAUUAUAUUAAAAAUAAUUUAAGGAUUAAAUUAUAAAAAUAUUUUAUAAAAAAAGAUUUAAAAGUAACUUUCAAAUAAUAUUUAAAACUGAAUAAAGAAAUUUGUGUGC